UUUAUAGAUUUUUGAAUAUAGAGAUGCAGCAUCCUAUUUAUGAGAUUUGGGAGGCUCUUAUGUUGUAAUCUCACAUCAGACCGUCCUGAAACGAUGCAUCUGACAUUGUGGUAAGGUGUACUCUCAAUCUGAGCUGAAAGGGGCCUGUGCAAUGUAUAACUUUAAUUUUUAUAGAUUUUUUUAUAUAGAGAUGUAGCAUCUCAUUUAUUAUAUUUGGGGGGCUCUUAUCUUGUAAUUACACAUCAGACUGUCCUGAAACGAUGCAGCUGACAUUGUGGCAAGGUGUACUCUCAAGCUGAGGUGAAAGUUUCCUGUGCAAUCCAUAACUUUUUUAAAUAUAUAAUUUUGAAAGUAGAGAUGAAGCAGCUUGUUUAUGAGAUUUGGGAGGCUCUUAUUUUGUAAUUCCACAUCAGACCGUCCUGAAACGAUGCAGCUGACAUUGUGGCAAGGUGUACUCUCAAUCUGAGGUGAAAGUGGCCUGUGCAAUCUAUAACUUAGAUUUUUAUAGAUUUUUGAAAAUAGAGAUGCAGCAUCCCAUUUAUGAGAUUUGGGAGGCUCUUAUUUUGUAAUUCCACAUCAGACCGUCCUGAAACGAUGCAUCUGACAUCGUGGCAAGGUGUACUCUCAAUCUGAGGUGAAAGUGGCCUGUGCAAUCUAUAACUUUUUUAAAUAUAUAAUUUUGAAAGUAGAGAUGAAGCAGCUUGUUUAUGAGAUUUGGGAGGCUCUUACUUUGUAAUUCCACAUCAGACUGUCCUGAAACGAUGCAUCUGACAUCGUGGCAAGGUGUACUCUCAAUCUGAGGUGAAAGUGGCCUGUGCAAUCUAUAACUUUAAUUUUUAUAGAUUUUUUAAAGUAGAUGCAGCAGCAUGCAGCUGACACUGUACUUUCUGUCUGUGCAUUCUAGAACUUUUAUUUGUAUAGCUUUUCGAAUGUAGAGAUGCAACAAGCAUAUAUUAUUGUUCUUAUUUUGUAA